CGGGGGCCCGCACAAGCGGUGGAGCAUGUGGUUUAAUUCGAUGCAACGCGAAGAACCUUACCUACUCUUGACAUCCAGAGAACUUUCCAGAGAUGGAUUGGUGCCUUCGGGAACUCUGAGACAGGUGCUGCAUGGCUGUCGUCAGCUCGUGUUGUGAAAUGUUGGGUUAAGUCCCGCAACGAGCGCAACCCUUAUCCUUGUUUGCCAGCGAGUAAUGUCGGGAACUCCAGGGAGACUGCCGGUGAUAAACCGGAGGAAGGUGGGGACGACGUCAAGUCAUCAUGGCCCUUACGAGUAGGGCUACACACGUGCUACAAUGGCGCAUACAGAGGGCAGCCAACUU
rnacentral:rRNA from 1 species